UUUCAGACCUUCUUCUUCCACGAUGUAGAACUGAAAUCCCUGGACAAGGCCUGAGACAAGCGUAUACAUAGCCCUGAAAGGUGGAGAGAAGGCAGAGGAAGCAGGUGCUUGCCGAUCCGAGAGAUGAUGGGCUUUCUCUUAGCCUCAGACAUCCCACAGUGGGUUCUAGAGAAACCCAUUGUUGCAGCCAUGCUUUUGUCUGCGUGUGACAUCAUCACAGGCCAUCUUGAAACGCCGGGGCUAUGGCCACCUACAGAAUACCUUGGCACCUGAGCUACAGAAUGAUCAGCAAUGACUUCUUUUAUGGAUACAGCAGUCCAGACCAAUAGCAAACACCCAGUAGCAGCAGCCCGAUCCAGCAGAAACUGCAAGGCUCCACCAAACAGCACAAGUCAGCAGAAGUGGUGAGAAUCAUGCAGGAAUACCCAUGAGAAGUUCUUUGGCCUGGUCCUUAAAUGGAGACAAAUGGGGUUUGUGUUGCCCUUUCAGUCCCAUGCUGUGGAACCAACUCAGGGCCCACCAUGAGCCCUGCCUUUGCUGCCAAGCGGGAGCUUAA